GGCUGUUUUUGGGUGACACACCCUGGAAUCGGGCUCUCUCCUCUCUGGUUCCAGGUGCAUCACCUGAGAACUGCA
rfam:Myotis lucifugus cont2.13802, whole genome shotgun sequence.